CUGCCAGCAGCCGCGGUAAUACGUAGGUGGCAAGCGUUAUCCGGAAUUAUUGGGCGUAAAGCGCGCGCAGGUGGUUUCUUAAGUCUGAUGUGCGGAAAGCCCACGGCUCAACCGUGGAGGGUCAUUGGAAACUGGGAGACUUGAGUGCAGAAGAGGAAAGUGGAAUUCCAUGUGUAGCGGUGAAAUGUGGCGUAGAGAUAUGGAGGAACACCAGUGGCGAAGGCGACUUUCUGGUCUGUAACUGACACUGAGGCGCGAAAGCGUGGGGAGCAAACAGGAUGUUUAGAUACCCUGGUAGUCC
rnacentral:rRNA from 1 species